GAUUGGUCAGGUUGGUUUAGGACCCUUUUGAGGGGUCGUGUCCGCGCUCCUCGCGCUCUCAUUUUCCUGUGGCUCUCCGUGAGGAAGGAUGGCUGAACGUGUCCGUUUUGCUGGAGGCCUGGUGCUUUUGGAGCAGCGGCAUGGUUUUGGGUAGAUAUCAGCCACCAUCUUCACACUAUCAGAUAUAUCUACAGAAUAUAGGCCUGCAGCCACGGAUAUAAAAUGCGGGGAAGUUUCAGCUGCUUCUAGUGGUGCAGUGACCUGCUUAUCCUGAGGGGGGCACACUGUCCUUUUGCUGGUGAGCAUGGUGCAGCUUGAGAUGAGUCAUAGAGAAAAGGAUCAAGAAAGGAGGACAGGUUUCUGGGUUGGAAUGAGGACUUCUACCAUCCAGUGGUGAACUAAGCAGAGGCAGUUGGACAGUUGAUGCUGCUGUGGAUGUGUAAAUGGUCUUGAGUUUCCCAAGCCACCAUUUGUGUGGACUGCCACGUUUAAAUGUUGUCAUUCUCAAAUAAAUGUAUUUAAUUAUGCA